rnacentral:rRNA from 1 species
AUUGAACGCUGGCGGCAUGCCUUACACAUGCAAGUCGAACGGCAGCACGGGUGCUUGCACCUGGUGGCGAGUGGCGAACGGGUGAGUAAUACAUCGGAACAUGUCCUGUAGUGGGGGAUAGCCCGGCGAAAGCCGGAUUAAUACCGCAUACGAUCCACGGAUGAAAGCGGGGGACCUUCGGGCCUCGCGCUAUAGGGUUGGCCGAUGGCUGAUUAGCUAGUUGGUGGGGUAAAGGCCUACCAAGGCGACGAUCAGUAGCUGGUCUGAGAGGACGACCAGCCACGCUGGGACUGAGACACGGCCCAGACUCCUACGGGAGGCAGCAGUGGGGAAUUUUGGACAAUGGGCGAAAGCCUGAUCCAGCAAUGCCGCGUGUGUGAAGAAGGCCUUCGGGUUGUAAAGCACUUUUGUCCGGAAAGAAAUCCUUGACUCUAAUACAGUCGGGGGAUGACGGUACCGGAAGAAUAAGCACCGGCUAACUACGUG